rnacentral:rRNA from 1 species
UGGGGAAUAUUGGACAAUGGGGGGAACCCUGAUCCAGCCAUGCCGCGUGUGUGAAGAAGGCCUUAUGGUUGUAAAGCACUUUAAGCGAGGAGGAGGGUACUGGUAUUAAUACUACCAGGUACUGGACGUUACUCGCAGAAUAAGCACCGGCUAACUCUGUGCCAGCAGCCGCGGUAAUACAGAGGGUGCGAGCGUUAAUCGGAUUUACUGGGCGUAAAGCGUGCGUAGGCGGCUAAUUGAGUCGGAUGUGAAAUCCCCGAGCUUAACUUGGGAAUUGCAUUCGAUACUGGUUAGCUAGAGUGUGGGAGAGGAUGGUAGAAUUCCAGGUGUAGCGGUGAAAUGCGUAGAGAUCUGGAGGAAUACCGUUGGCGAAGGCAGCCAUCUGGCCUAACACGGACGCUGAGGUACGAAAGCAUGGGGAGCAAACAGG